AGCCCUGUAGUCUAGUGGUCAAGGAUGCGGCCCUCUGAAGGCUGCGACCCCGGUUCAAAUCCGGGCAGGGCUA
rnacentral:tRNA from 1 species